rnacentral:rRNA from 1 species
UGUGAGGAAGAUAAUGACGGUACUCAACAAGGAAGUGACGGCUAACUACGUGCCAGCAGCCGCGGUAAAACGUAGGUCACAAGCGUUGUCCGGAAUUACUGGGUGUAAAGGGAGCGCAGGCGGGAAGACAAGUUGGAAGUGAAAUCCAUGGGCUCAACCCAUGAACUGCUUUCAAAACUGUUUUUCUUGAGUAGUGCAGAGGUAGGCGGAAUUCCCGGUGUAGCGGUGGAAUGCGUAGAUAUCGGGAGGAACACCAGUGGCGAAGGCGGCCUACUGGGCACCAACUGACGCUGAGGCUCGAAAGUGUGGGUAGCAAACAGGAUUAGAUACCCUGGUAGUCCACACUGUAAACGAUGAUUACUAGGUGUUGGAGGAUUGACCCCUUCAGUGCCGCAGUUAACACAAUAAGUAAUCCACCUGGGGAGUACGACCGCAAGGUUGAAACUCAAAGGAAUUGACGGGGGCCCGCACAAGCAGUGGAGUAUGUGGUUUAAUUCGACGCAACGCGAAGAACCUUACCAAGUCUUGACAUCCCUUGACGAUGCUGGAAACAGUAUUUCUCUUCGGAGCAAGGAGACAGGUGGUGCAUGGUUGUCGUCAGCUCGUGUCGUGAGAUGUUGGGUUAAGUCCCGCAACGAGCGCAACCCUUAUGGUCAGUUACUACGCAUGAGGACUCUGGCCAGACUGC